rnacentral:lncRNA from 1 species
GGGUUAUUACAUUCACCCUCCCUUAUAAGGAUUCCGUCCCCGGAAUCACCGCUUUAAAACUCAUACGUAGAAGGGUAUAUAGCAUAUAAUCAUUGCACGUAGACCUCGAUCAUACUUGAUCGAACUGAUCUUUAACAAUUCUCCAUAACGCUUGUCUUUCUGAUAAACAGAAUUUUGAUUAAGAGAACCAAAAUUCCUCCUUCAAAAUUUCUUUGAUAAAGUAAUCUACUAUAUGUAUAUAUAUACAGGAAAAUCAUAUAAAAUAUUUAAGUUAUUUGAAUAGAACCUGGAGUUCCAUUUCCAGAUGCCACAGUAUCCUCAACUGCUACGAUAUCUUGAACGACCAUAAUGAAGACACUUACGGUUUAUUUCGUUGUCGCCUAUAUCUUGCUGUCAUUUCUCGUAUUCACAUUCCUUAUCUCACUUCUUCUUCUUUCACCUUAUACUCUUUCAUCUUAUACUCCAUUGAUUCAUAAAUAAAACAUUCGCUAUACAUUCUUGAAUUGGGACAAUUGGAAGAGAUAUGUCUCUUCUGCCCACAAACUUUCUCUUUAUCUCAUUUUCCUUUUAUCGUAUAGGUGAUAAAAGUUAUCCUUUGCCCUUUCCGUUAUCCUAACUAUCAUAAAUGCUUCUACUGAGUCACUUAAUCCUCUAUACCCUAGCAAUAAGAUUGCCUUAAAGUCUUUGGCGUUCGACAUUCGAUUAUCUGGUUGGUCUUCCGCGGCUGGUUUUCUUUUUUCGUCUCGUUGACAUAAUCGUAAAUUAUUUUUCAUUUCCUUAGAUUCUAAGCCUCAUCGUAUACGUUCGACAUAUAACACAAAAUUUUCUACUCAAAUAAUAAUGUAUUCCAAAAUAUUAAAUUUUAAAACUUGGUUUACUAUAUUAACCAAUAUUUAGAUAAAUAUCUGCUACCUUUAUAACAACUUACUUCAUUAAUCCAACUUGUGACACUCAUGGUACUUCCAACCAUAGCACCUCACAUUAAUAGAACUUAACAUACCAUAGCACAUAUUGCUUUAAACAUCAGCUAUCCCUUUGUGACUANNNN